AGCCAUUAUACAAUGCUUUCCGCCAGAGAACUACAAGUGAAAAACUUAAAACUCAAAGGACUUGGCGGUGUCCCAUACCGACCUAGAGGAGCCUGUCCUAUAAUCGAUACCCCCCGUUCUACCUAACCUCUACUAGCCCUUUCAACCUAUAUACCGCCGUCGACAGUCUACCCCAUGAGGGAUUAACAGUAGACAAAAUAGCCCUCCCGCUAAUACGUCAGGUCAAGGUGUAGUUCAUGUUGAGGGAGAGAUUGGCUACAUUUUUUAGUUAUAAAAAACACGGAAUAUAAAAUGAAACCCUA
rnacentral:rRNA from 1 species